rnacentral:rRNA from 1 species
AUAGCGUAUAUUAAAGUUGUUGCAGUUAAAAAGCUCGUAGUUGAACUUCAGACCUGGCUGGAUGGUCUGCCUAGCGGUAUGUACUGUCCGGCUGGGCCUUACCUCUUGGUGAGCCGGCAUGCCCUUCACUGGGUGUGUCGGGGAACCAGGACUUUUACCUUGAGAAAAUUAGAGUGUUCAAAGCAGGCUUAUGCUCGAAUACAUUAGCAUGGAAUAAUAAAAUAGGACGUGCGGUUCUAUUUUGUUGGUUUCUAGAGUCGCCGUAAUGAUUAAUAGGGAUAGUUGGGGGCAUUAGUAUUCAGUUGCUAGAGGUGAAAUUCUUGGAUUUACUGAAGACUAACUACUG